ACUCCGGUUGAUCCUGCCGGAGGGCACCGCUAUUGGGUUCCGCUUAAGCCAUGCGAGUCGAGAGGGUUCGGCCCUCGGCGCAUCGCUCAGUAACACGCGGACAAUCUGCCCUUGGGUGGGGCAUAAUCUCGGGAAACUGAGGCUAAUACCCCAUAGGCCACCUCUGCUGGAAUGCUUGGUGGCCCAAAGUUCCGGCGCCCAAGGAUGAGUCUGCGGCCUAUCAGGUAGUAGUGAGGGUAACGUCCUCACUAGCCUUCGACGGGUACGGGCGUUGAGAGACGUCGCCCGGAGAUGAUCUCUGAGACACGAGAUCAGGCCCUACGGGGCGCAGCAGGCGCGAAAACUUCACAAUGUGGGAGACCACGAUGAGGGGAACCCAAGUGUCUGCGCUAUGCGUAGACUGUUUCCCUGUCUAAAAAACAGGGAGAGUAAGGGCUGGGUAAGACGGGUGCCAGCCGCCGCGGUAAUACCUGCAGCC
rnacentral:rRNA from 1 species